UGCACCCCACUGAGGCCUCUUGUCUGGAGCAUGCUUGAGGCAGCCUAACUUCUGGCCAGACAAGACUAAAUGGAGGUAGAGAAAAGCCAUACAGGGAACAUGUUAUUUCAGCUGUAGUUCAUGCUUUGCUGGUCAGGCUGUCUUCACCAGGGAGCAAUUUGGGGGGCGGGGGAGGGAGAAAUCUGGUGAAAUAAAUUAGGCCAUCUCUGUGCAAAUAGCAAAGUGAUCACCAAGGAGAGACCAAAAAAAAUAAAUUGUACAGAAGUCCAGAAGUUAAGGAAAAAAAAAAAUACACAAAAACCCUCACGGACAUUCAAUUUGGAAUAGAUAUCUCAGCAACUUUUGCAGUGUGAAGCCCGAUCAUUUAGAUUCAGCACAGGUGGCAUAAACUCCACCCGUAUUUAAACUACACAUGCUGUGGCUGUUACAAAAACAGCAUGAAUCAGCAUUGCAUACAUGCCAGGAAGGUGCAAAUACGGAGGGGUGUGGCUGCACUCUAUUUUGGAUCAGUUUAGACUUACAUGCAGUUUCCAGACCUGUUCUUAUUUAAGAACUUUUUUUCUCCAGUUUGUAGUGUCACUAAAAUAUUGAGCAAGUUUUUGCUCAAUCUUUGACCUGGUUUGCCCAGGUGACUCCCCAGGUGCAUGCGGGAAUCUCCGUGUGGAGGAACAUACCUGGCUCACUCCACAGAACCACAACCAGCACCUGGAGGCAAUUUAAUCCCAUCAAUUUACAAAAGAAUGACAGUGAACAACUCUUUUCUCUAGCUCUCCCUCAAACUAAUCUGCUAUACAAGUUAGCAAAAGGCAUCCAUCCUUUACCAGGUGUUGCCUGCAGGCAAAGUUCAAACUAUUUAAAUAACUGACAGUGAGUAAACUAAAGUAGAUUGUUUUAGGUACAAAAUCAACUUGCAGUAAGAUUCAGAGCAUGUUUGUAAGAGGUGAUGCCCUCCCUAACCCGGGUUCUUACAGCAGUCAUGGGACUCUGUGGUUUGCUCAACAAAGCACAACAUGAAACCACAAGCUCAAAGAAAGAGAAAGAAGAAAGAAAAAAACUUCUGGAAAUGCUGGGAAGAGGAACGUAUAUAAUGAAACAUGAGGGAGUAUUUACAAUUCUGUUUUAGUUUUAAACAAAAUGUAGAAGCAAGCCUCCUUUACAGGGACAGCCCCAGGAUAACAUCUCCAAUAGUAUAACUGCUGACUUCAGGAAGCUUAUCUGUAUCUGCUUCUGAUCUUGCAAGAAGUUCUGUGGGGGCAAAUCUCUAUUCGGAUUAAUUUCCAGAAGCACAGUCUUAGAUAUGUGUGAUAAAUAGCGAAAUCUAAAUGAUGGCAAAAGGGAAACUAUCAGGAAGCUAAAAUGCAUUACAGAAAAAAAUAAAUAAAUAAAAAGGAGGACUUCUACAUCCUCACAAUUUAGGUAGAGUAAAAAAAAAUAAAUAUCUUCAGGUCUUUACUGAAAGCCCUGUCCUGAACAAUACUGUGCAACUAUGACUGCUGGCAAUGCAUAUCCUUCUUUCUGCUUACUGUCACAAUGAGACAAACUCUGCCUUCAGAAAGUACAGUAGUUGUUUCUGCUUUAAAACCUACAGCCCAGAACUGAGUCUGCUAGCAAGUCAACCUGGGAAAUCUAUCAGUAGCAGUCCCUGACCAAGAGCCAAAGGACAACCAGAAGCAGUGCGAUGAGAAGUGUAUUUACCUGAUAUGUGACCUUGGCCAUCACAGCCUAUCACUGGACAUCUAAAGAAAUACAGCAAAAGAACCCAUGUUUUCAAUAGAGAUAGAAGGUGAAGACAGGCUCAAGAAAGUCUGAAAAAACACAUCCAGCUGCCUAUGCCACUUUGCACUAAUUUUUAAGACUCGAUCUCCUGGGACUCACUCUACCUGAGCAUCCAAUUCACGUCAAGAUAUUUUGGGAGUUCAGUUGAUUUUAAGAUUAGGCAAUUUCAAGUAUACUUGGACAGCCUAAGAAACUAAACAAUUCAUUUAGAUAUUGUUUUACCGGAAAAUAAUUUUGAAAUUCUAUCACAGGCAAUAAAUCACAAUCUACAAGUCUAUGAAAAGUCACCAUUCUCUCUUCUCUAUCUAUGUUUCUGGCAUAAAGCAGAGGGUAGGUUUUUAUAUCUGGAAACCUUGUACUGUCUCAUGCAAAUACUUGCAAAGUAAGUUAGUUUUAUUAAUCUCUCUACUUAUCUAUCUAUUCAUCCAUCCAUCUAUCUAUCAUAGAAUAAUUAAAGAUCAUCUCCAAGAUCAUCUGGUCCACUCAUCACCCUACUACCAAUAUCACCCACUAAACAAUGUCCCUAAGCAUCAGAUCCAACA